AUUUCUCAACAUUUUAGAAGGAAAUAAAUAGAAAAAGGAAAACGAGAAGAAAAACAAGAAGUGAGAGAAGAGAACUGUCUAUUUAUCUAGAGACGUUACAAAGGCUGUCAGAGACGUUUCUUGUACGUUGUCCUGCAGUGAUUGGAUGAUAUAUCUUUAUUUAAAGUUUAUUUGUUUUUAUACUGAUAUUGUUAUGUUAUACUAUGAGACCAUCUUUAUCGCGGACUUUAGUGGGGUUUCUAAACAAAAAGAGUGAUUUAAUUAAAUGAAAAGUAAUUAGAAAGGUUAUUAGCGAUCCUUAGUUUAGGUUUUUUGUGAUCGAUUAUUUGGUGGGUUUCAAACCACGUGUCAAUAAAUCAGAGGACUGAAUUUAUAUUUUUCUUUUUCUUUUCUUUCUUUCUUUUGUUUUUUUUUUGCAUUCUUUCUCGUGGUCUUUGUUUUCUCCGUCAAGAGAGAGACCCAAAUCGACGACGUCUCUCUGUCUCGUCCCACUUCGCUCGUCUUCUCCAUCGGAUCAAGGAUCGAGACCGAAGACCGACGACGUCUCUCUGGCUCCUCACGGAGAUUCCUCCGCCUUCUCCGCCAAAACCGACGAUCAAAACCGAGGAUGAGUCACGUGGUCCUCACGGAGUCUCGUCGCACUUCUGUCGUCUUCUCCGUCAGAUCAAGGAUCAAAACCGAAGACCGACGACGUCUCUCUGGCUCCUCACGGAGAUUCCUCCGCCUUCUCCGCCGAAACCGACGAUCGAAUCCGAAGACGAGUCAGGUGAUCCUCACGGAGUCUCGUCGCACUUCUCUCAUCUUCUCCGUCAGAUCAAGGAUAGAAACCGAAGACCGACGACGUCUCUCUGGCUCCUCACGGAGAUUCCUCCGCCUUCAUGUGAGUGUCGACGACUCUGUCCGUGUUGACGGCGCCUCCUCCGUUGGUCUUUCAGCUCUGGCCAACGAUCUCUUCAACGUGGAGAUAAGUUCCCAACUAAUUACAUCCUUCUCGUUUCAAUUCAUGAAUGCAUGUGAUAGUAGUUAAGUUAAUGAAUGGUGAUUACGGUUAUAAGUUUUGUGUAUCAUUAUAAAGAUGUAGCCUUUGAUCGAACUUUGUAGGCUACUUAAAUGUUUAGUAUGUUUUGUCUGAUUGUUUAGUUAAAAAGUCAUUAGGAUACAAUGAGAUUGUUAGUUAAUCUUCAAACUAAUACUGAAGAUCAGAGUGGACUUGGUUUGCUUGGUUUGCGUAGGAGAAUCAUGUGAGGAGGCAAAGAUCAGAGUGAGGACGCAAAGAUCAGAAUGAUCUGACUACUUGAGACUUUUGGUUAGAGAAAUGAAGAGAGUGUCUGUUUGUGUCACGUUCAGUCACAAGAGCAUGCAAAGAUAUGAAGAGAAGUUUGUCUGUUUGUGUCACGUUCAGUGACAAGAGCAUGCAGAGAUAUGAAGAGAAGUUUGUUUGUUUGUGUCACGAGCUGUGUAUGUGGGCUUCUCAAAGUAAUGAGUGUGUCGCAUUAUGUAAAUAUUAUCUUUGCUUUUUCUAGUUUGUUGUUUUCCUAUAGUCACGAGUGUAAUAUAUUAUGUCUUCUGUUAUAUAAACGGUUCAUUCACAAA